rnacentral:rRNA from 1 species
UACGUAGGUGGCAAGCGUUGUCCGGAUUUAUUGGGUUUAAAGGGUGCGUAGGUGGUCUUGUAAGUCAGUGGUGAAAUCCGGCAGCUUAACUGUCGAUGUGCCAUUGAUACUGUGAGACUUGAGUACAGACGAGGUAGGCGGAAUUGACGGUGUAGCGGUGAAAUGCUUAGAUAUCGUCAAGAACACCGAUAGCGAAGGCAGCUUACUAGACUGUAACUGACACUGAUGCACGAAAGUGUGGGGAUCAAACAGG